GCCUACGGGAGGCAGCAGUGAGGAAUAUUGGUCAAUGGGCGCGAGCCUGAACCAGCCAAGUCGCGUGAGGGAGGACGGCCCUACGGGCUGUAAACCUCUUUUGCCGGGGAGCAACGGGCGUCACGUGUGGCGCCACUGAGAGUACCCGGAGAAAAAGCAUCGGCUAACUCCGUGCCAGCAGCCGCGGUAAUACGGAGGAUGCGAGCGUUAUCCGGAUUUAUUGGGUUUAAAGGGUGCGUAGGCGGUUCGUUAAGUCAGUGGUCAAAUUGAGGGGCUCAACCCCUUCCCGCCAUU
rnacentral:rRNA from 1 species